UUCUCCUCGCCGGCGGUACUAUCUUGUCUUCUCUUCUCCCUCACCGGCGGCACCAUCUUGCCUUCUUUUCUCCUCGCUUCCUUCUUUUCUCCUCGCCGGUGGUACCGUCUUACCUUCUCUUAUCCUCACCGACGGUACCAUCAAAAUUUUCUUUAAUCGGCGACACAAUGAUAGAAAAAUAAAACAGAAUGCCUCCUUUUUCUCUACUUCAACGCCCUUGUUCCCGCAGUUGUUGAACGGUUAGGUGACGCCAAACAGCCUGUUAGAGACGCCGCCAGACGCCUACUGCUCACUCUCAUGGAGGUUUCUUCUCCAACAAUUAUUGUCGAAAGAGCUGGCUCUUAUGCUUGGAUAUAUAGAAGUUGGAGAGUUCGAGAGGAAUUUGCGCGAACGGUUACAUCAUCAAUCAGUCUUUUUGCAUCUACUGAACUUCCAAUUCAACGGGCAA